GACAUCGUGGCCGAGUGGUCUAAGGCGUUGGAUUUAGGCUCCAAUCUUCGGGCGCAGGUUCGAAUCCUGCCGAUGUUA